GUUCUACACGUCCCUAGGGUUUCAGAGUUCUCUCAAGGGUAAGAGCCUAUGAGUCACCACAGCUUCUAACUCAAGACAGCAAGACACUGAAACGGAGGCUCCGGCUCGCCUUUCUGGAACUUAAAGCACACCGGGCUGACUUCCUCUGCUGGUCUUCAUUCUCUACUUUCUAUUGCGUUCUAUCUUUCUGUGUCCUGGGAGUCCGGCAUGGAUGGAUCACCUCAGCAGGCUUCUGCACCCUCCAGCUUCUGGGUGAACCCAGUGAGGUGAUGGGACAGGAAGGGAAGGGGAACAGGAAGUAGAUGGAUAUGGGUUUAUUCUAGUGCGUGCUAUAGAUUAGGCACACUGUGAACAUAUUCCUUGGUCAAAGGGAGCUGCCCACUCCUCAACCUCUUGUGCUUCUUCCUGGCAUCUCUUUGACCUGGGGAUGAGGGUGGUUAUCAGACACUCUAUCUUAUUCAGCCUCAUUGGGCAAUCUCUUUCGGGGAAACACCAAGCUAAUUUUUUAAAAGUAAACCAGACAUGCCCAGAGGCCUUUUUAUCCACUACCUUUGUGAUACAAACUGAGCAUAUCCGAAAGCAUUCCUGUCUGCUAUUUAAAAUGUCCAAACAUUUAUACCAUGCCCUUAAGCAUACGUAACAAGUGUCUGCCAUCUUUCCUUCUUGAAGUAUAACCUUAGGGUGAGCAUGCUCAGAAAUGCAGUCCUCCAUCAAGCAUGCUCAGAAACUAGCCAGAAACUAACUAGCCAGUGCCUGAGAUGCUUUCAUAUAUAUAUUCCUCAGAUCCUCAUGGUUUCUUUUAGAAAAGCAUUGCUUUAGAAAGAAUUCCUUUCCUCUCCUUACCUGCUACAGGUAGCAAAUUGUCCUCUGCUGUUAAUUUCUUGGCUAUGAUUGUUUUCUGGCCCUGCUGUUUAUUGCACUUGUCCUAGGAACUUUCCAAGGUACCUUUAGAGAUAAGACAGGGGUCAUGGGUAAAGCAGACAUGUUCGUUAUGGUGGCUGUUUACUGUGUGGGCUCUUGUAACCUGAGGAGAUGAGUACUGUGCUUAGAUACAGACCGGAGCAAAUUCAGCUAAAAGUAAAACAGAUUGGCUCUUACAGGAACUCCAUCAAGCUAAUGCCUUCACUUCUGGCUUUCUGAGGCAGCAGAUUGACUGACUGUCCCUUGUGGGCCAGCUGUUUUGGCACUGCAUCCAAGCACAGGCCUUGGACAGUGUCAGUAUAAUGACAAGGUUAAGUUUGCAGAAAAGGCACAGGGUUGGGCUCCAGAAUUUGAUCCAGCCACAGGGUGAUCUGGGAUGGUUCAGAUCAGAGGAGGGCUGGAUGCCAGGAUAAAGGAAGGAUGUUGUACCCUGGGGUUCAUGCAGCUGCCUGAUCUCACAGCAGAGUUCUGACUGCUCUGGGGAUGGGGGAGCACCUGCAGGCUCAGUAACAGGAGCAAAAAGUUGAUGUCACUCCAGGGAGGACAAAGCAGGAAGAAAAAAUAUCCUCAUGAGCCCAGGAGAAGUCACUAGGGGCUACACAGGAGGUUCGGAUCAGUUUUUGCUUCGUGGAGCUGAGAAGAAGGCAUUAGAAAUAGCUGGAGGUGGGGGACACACUAUUGGUUGUAGAUAGCUCUGAUUUAUAACCAAACUCUAUUUUUCUGAAGAAUAAAACUUGUGUGAAGUCAGGGGCUGUGUUUUAACUGCUCAUUUGUAACUUUCAGGUCUCCAUGGAGAAGAAUGUGUCCAAAGAGGCUUAUCUUCUAUUGACAGUCAGUCCUAAUGGAAAUGGAAAGAUACAUCUACAAAAUGAUUCCUGAACUCAAGUCUCAGGAAACAUUGUGCAUGAGGAAUUAUAAGAACCAGAGAAACAGAGUUUUCUGUGAGAUUGUGUCUCCUAGUAAUGUCAGAAGCAACAACCAUAAAAUCUCAUCACCCUGGCUACAUAGAUUGUCUGAAAAAGGAUGACCACAACAGGCAUGCCAAAGUGGUGGGGGAAAUGCCCAUGAAACCUCAUCCAUACACAGAGUACUACAGGUCACUCAACCUGGUCCUCUGAAACAUGCUCAGAUUGCUGCCGUGAGACUAUAGUCUGGCAAACCCAUCUGACAUGUGCAAUGAUGAAUAUCUUGUGUACCUGAUCAAACCCUGGAGAGAGAAUGAAAAACAUUUGAUAUAAAGGCUUUGUACAUCUUAGAGGAUCAUGUGAUGAACUAUGUGUACAUAGCACCAUGGUUCCAGUACUGUCCUUCGUCCACAGGACAUCACUUCUGAAGAGUAAGAAGGCCAGGGCCACUUACCAACCUGUCUCUCACGAGGUAACAAUGGGUGUGGGUGG
rnacentral:sRNA from 1 species